rnacentral:rRNA from 1 species
GAUGAACGCUGGCGGCGUGCCUAAUACAUGCAAGUCGAACGCAUUGUGGUUGAAAUGAUAUGAAGAACUUGUUCAGAUUUGAUUUUCAACAUUGCAAUGAGUGGCGAACGGGUGAGUAACACGUGGGAAACCUACCUCUUAGCAGGGGAUAACAUUUGGAAACAAAUGCUAAUACCGUAUAAUAAUUAAAACCGCAUGGUUUUAGUUUAAAAGAUGGUCUUGCUAUCACUAAGAGAUGGUCCCGCGGUGUAUUAGUUAGUUGGUGAGGUAAUGGCUCACCAAGACAAUGAUACAUAGCCGAGUUGAGAGACUGACCGGCCACAAUGGGACUGAGACACGGCCCAUACUCCUACGGGAGGCAGCAGUAGGGAAUCUUCCACAAUGGACGAAAGUACUGAUGGAGCAACGCCGCGUGUGUGAUGAAGGGUCUCGGCUCGUAAAACACUGUUGUAAGAGAAGAAUGACAUUGAGAGUAACUGUUCAAUGUG